CCUCUCAUGGCGCACUGGUUAAUGCGCCCCCUCUCUUGAUCGGGGAGUCGUGAGUUCGAUUCUCACUGAGAAGA
rnacentral:tRNA from 1 species